rnacentral:rRNA from 1 species
GAUGAACGCUGGCGGCGUGCCUAAUACAUGCAAGUCGAACGAAGAUCUAGCUUGCUAGAUCUUAGUGGCGAACGGGUGAGUAAUACAUAAAUAAUCUGCCCAUAUGACUGGGAUAACUAUUGGAAACGAUAGCUAAUACCGGAUAGGUUGAUUGGAGGCAUCUCUGAUUAAUUAAAGUAGGAUUUCUACACAAAUGGAUGAGUUUAUGGCGCAUUAGUUAGUUGGUGGGGUAACGGCCUACCAAGACGAUGAUGCGUAACCGACCUGGGAGGGUGACCGGCCACACUGGGACUUGGACACGGCCCAGACUCCUACGGGAGGCAGCAGUAGGGAAUUUUCGGCAAUGGGCGCAAGCCUGACCGGGCAACGCCGCGUGAGUGAUUAAGGCCUUCGGGUUGUAAAGCUCUGUUGUAAGGGAAGAACAUUCAGGAUAGGAAAUGAUCUUGAACUGACGGUACCUUACCAGAAAGCCACGGCUAACUACGUGCCAGCCGCCGCGGUAAAAC